GUAUGUAAGGGUGAUCUGGCUGAGACCUCUGUCAUCUGUUGAUAGCCAGGAUUGGUAGGACUUAUCUUGCUGGCUAGGCAGGUGUCUCCUUCCUCUCCUACUGAUCCAUAUUCAUUCAUCCUGAAGCUGUGCACUAAAUCAAAGAACAUGACCUUCCCAGAUAAUGGGAGACCAUUUCUCAGUAAAGGUUAUAGUGAGUAACUCCAUUCCUAGGCUCAAAUUUCCAAACAAACUCACAGUCAGAAAAGUUUCAUAAGUCUGAAAUAAUAUCAUGUCACUUGAUGUUUUCUCUGGAAAUAGUG
rnacentral:snRNA from 1 species